ensembl:lncRNA
GCCUCUGGCACUCCACGCCACAGCUGGAUUGCACCUCCUCCGUGUGCCAUAGAUCUGGAUCUGUGAGAUUCUCCUUGGAAAGGGCAGUAUGUGAAGCAAACAUCAGUACCUGAGACUAAGCUGCACUGAUGACCCUUCAAAAGAGGGCACCCCCCCUCCCUCAUACCACCGGGCCAUAAAUGUCCCACCAGAAGCAGAGCAGCUUUCCUGGCCUGCCGUCCCGGUACAGCGGUGAUGGAUGCUUCCAGCAUGGCACUGUCAUGGGGGCCUCAGGCUGGGCUGGCCAGGAUCCUGAGAGCUAUAAAAGAAGCCCACGGGCAUCUCGACCCUGUUCCGUGUCGGAACUGGAGAGGAGCUACACAAACAGCUACCCCUUGUCAGGGGUCCCCUUGCAAGGAGAGAACCCUCUGAACGGGACGCCAGGACCCUGGGAGCCCGGCCACUCAAACAGCGCAUGGAGAGAAUCCAGCAGGGGCUUUUUUAGGCCCAAGCACAUCGAAAGAGCCAGGUCCAUGAGCCCCUUGCGAGGGAUCCACUCCAUAGAUAGUGGGAUAGUUUUAACCAAUGGCAUGGAAUGUGCCUGGAAACAUUCCAGCCCACCACUCAGAAGGAGGCAUUCUUUAUCUCGUCUCCCGGACUGGGACACAGAAGAAUAUGGUCCCAUGCGGCCAUUGGUUCGAAGGGUGUGGAGUGGAUUGGAGCUGGACCUGCGGGCAUCUUUACCAGAGAAUGUGCAGAGGACUGCAGGGCUGGGGCCCUCUCUGCGGGACGCUCCUGGGGUGCUAGAGGGACAGGCAGAAGAGCUGCAGAAACUGGAACUCAACAGGGUGAAGUUUGAGCUGCUUUCCAUUAAGCAGAAGCAGAUGGAGAGCUCUCUCGCCCAACUAGAGAAGGAAAAGAGCUGGUUGGACCUGUCCCGCUAUGAAGACCAGAAACAGAGAGGGGACCUGCAAGAGAAGAUCCUUAAUUUGGAGAUGGAGGUGGUGAAGGCCAAAUCCUGCUUGAGCAGAAUGAGCUGCCGCUCGGUCUCCCCAAGUCCCAGACAGAGGUUGUCUGCGGAAAAGGAGGAGCUGAACCGAGAAAUGACAGCUCUUCAAGAAACCCUGAGUGGUUACAAGGAGCACAUGAAGGUUCUGGAAGCAGAACGGGAUGAAAUGACCCAGCAGCUGAACUCAGCCAAAGAGGGGCAACAGCUGGCUUUCAGCCAGACCAAUGAGGCCAACCAGAGAGUGACGGACUCGCUCCAGGCGACAACAGCACUGCACAAGGAAAUUGGCAGACUCCAAGUGGCUUACAACAGCACCAGCCGGGAGAAGGAGCUGCUGUCUUCCAAGGUGGCCAGACUGGAGGAGAGAGUAUCUGAGCUCACCAUGAAGCUGAAGCCUGCCCUGUCCAACAGGGAGAGGUUCCUAAAGGAGAAAGUGGAGCUGCACCAGCAGGUGCAGGAUCUCACCCUGCAAUUAGAACAUGCGCAGCGGAGCCGAGAGGGAUUCAACAGCCAAGUGUCAGACCUCCAUCUGGAGCUGGUGAAUGCCAAGGCCCAGGCCAACCGCCAGGACCAGGAGAAGGUCCUGAUGAAGGAGGAGCUGGUGACCCUCAGACAGGUAAAUGAGAAGCUUUCCUCUGAACUGGGUCAGAGCCGCCAGAGACUGGAGACCUCCCUGGGUCAGCUCCACCAGCUGGAGGCUGAGAAGAAGAUCCUGACCAAUAGGAUCCAGGCCCUGGAGACUGAGCGCACGCAGCUGCUGGGUGAACAGGAGGCGCUGAAGUCAGAAAUGCAGAGGGAUGCUGGAGGCCAGGGGAAUGAUGUGGCAGCUCUUCAAACGACCUGCGAAGGGCUCAGGGCAUCGCAGUCCCUGUUGCAGGCGGAGAAGGAAGCCCUGCAGGCUCGCUGCAUGGAGCUGGAGGCUGCCCUGCGGCACAAGCAGGAGGAGUUGUGUGGCCAGCUUGCAGAGCAGCAGCAGGUCUCCCAGCACUGGAAGGACAGAUGGAACCAGGCGGCUGUGGCCCUAAAAACCAAAGAGGAGGAACUGGAGCAAGCACAUGUGGCACGUCAGAGCUUGUCUGCCAAGCACACAGAGCUCCUGGAGGACUGCGAGCUGCUCCAGGUGGAUGUGGAGGAGCUGGCCGAGCUGAGAGGCGCCAUGUGCAGCCUGAAGGAAGAAAACGGAGACUUAAUGAGACAGCUGAGGGAGCAGCAACAGGCCACCCAGCUGCUGCAGCUACAGCAAGAGCUGGCUACAAACACAUCUGUACCGGGAUCAGACUCAGAGAGGACUUCAGAACAAGAGGCCCUUUACAGAGAGAUCCAGGAAACCCACGACAGGAUAAAGAGGCUGGAGAAUGAAAAAGCUGAGAUGAAGUCCGAGAUCAGGAAGCUGAAGCUGGAUGGCGCUUCUGUCCUGCGGAUUGAACUGGACGCCUGUAAGCAGGAGCUGGAGCUGGAAAAGAGCCGCAGUCAGGCUCUGAAUGGCAAAGUGCAGCUGCUGCAGUCCAGGCGCUGGGACAAUGCUACUCCACCACGUGAGCAGAUCAAGUUCCCAGCAGCCUCCAAUACCACAACAACAUCUGGCUUAGAGAUGGAUUGUCCUGUGUCCUCUCCAAGAAGUUCUCAGAUUUCCAGUCCUCAAGGAGAGCCGUUGGCCAUGGAGAGCCCCCAGGGCUUGAUGGCCUCAGGGGGCCUGUCUGAGGUGGAGAGCCUGAAGCAGGAGCUCCAGAGGGAGACUGCAUCCCGGCAGGAAAAGGAGGAGCUGAUCUGGACUCUGAGAGAGGAAUUAGAAGAACUGAAACUAAAGCAGCCAGGAGACAUCAAGGCCUCCCUGGAGGAAGUAGACACAGAGUUAGUGCUGGUCCGAGAAGAGCUGCAGAAGGUUUGGGACAUGCUGAAAACACGUGAUACGGCACUGGAAGAACGACACCUGGAGUUAGAAUCAGCCAGGAACCAGUACACUGAAUGCAGCUCAGAGAAGCUGAGACUGGAACAACUCGUCGCCUCUCUGGAGCACCAGCUGGCGGAGAGGGAACAGGCCUUGAGGCACCUUCGACAAGCAAGUGAGAUGGAAAAAACCAAGCUGGAGAUUCAAGCCUCUUCGUUAGAGCUGAAGCUGCCAGAAGUGGAGGUCCUGAGAGACGACGCCCACCGACGCAACCAGGCAUCGGGCCCCCCAGAGGUACAGAACUGGGGCCCCAGGCAGAGCCGUGCCAGCCGCUCCGAGGGGAAGUGCUCCCAGUGUGAUGCUUUUCUGGCCCAGCUGAACAAGAUGAUUCAAAGCUGUACAGAGAAAGGGGCUGUGCUGCAGGAGGACCAGACCUUGACCUACCUGUGUGAGCUGCAGGGGCUCCUCAAGGGGCUGAGUCAGUGCACAGCCGGCCAAGUCACAAGGAGCCCCCAGGAAAAGAGCCAAACCUUGGAACAGCAGCAUCAGCUGGUGACCGAGCAGAAUGCAAGAGGAGCCAUCAAGCCACACGGGAAACCUCCACAGGAGCUAAGAGAAAAGCAGCAGCCUGUGCCAGGAGAUCUGGGCUUCUCCACCAGCACCGAAGAAGCGCAGAGCCUCAGGCUGCAACUGCAAGAGAAAACGGAAAUGAUUUCCGCCAUGGCCUCUGAGAUCCAGGGACUGCAGCAAAAGAACGAACACCUGAUGAAAGCGAAACUGCGGUUUCAGCAGCAAAUCCAAGACAUCCGCAGCCUCCAGCAGCAGCGACAGGAAAGGAGCGACUCAGACCUGCUGGUUCCUAGGCUCUCCAGCCGGCAGGAGCUGGAGUUGGGGCUGAGCCAACGGAGCGAUGGCUCUGCACCUCCGACUGGCGGUGAUCCCCAUGCUUCUCUGUACCUAGCCAAGCAGGUGGUGCUGCCCGAGGCAGGAGACGAGCUGUGUUGCUUCAGUUCUGAAAGCAGUGGCAGCCAGUCCCACGGGUCCCAGGCAGGGUCAGAACUGCCAGCGCUGCCGCUGAGCAAGCUCCCUGCUGAUCCUGUGACUGGGAAGCUGCCUCCCCCGUCCACACUGCCCCUCCCAGCCUCCACCUCAGCAUCUGGCAAAUCCUCCCCCGAGGCCCGCUCGGCCCCAGUGAGCCCCCGGAGCCAGCCUGGCAGCCAGGAGUCCUCGUACACUCCCAAGGGGGCAGUGCUGCUCUCGCCAAGACCCUUCCGGGCACAACGACUGGGCUCGCCCUUUAAAUUCAGAGUGAGCCCGGAGCCCCCAGGGGAGAGCUGUGGCAGCUGAAGCACCCUGUCCGUUGAGAUCAGACUAGAUGAUCACAACGGCCCCCUUCUGGCCUUGGAAUCUAUGAAUCCUGCAUGGCUGGGUACACGUGGCUUUGAAUGAUCCGCUCUGUGCCCUCUCCUUGUCCCCUGAGCUGUUCGCCGUAGAGUCUGGCUGGUAAAUGAAUGAACAUAGCAUGUUCUCUUGGAACUGGCUGUUUCCCCCUGGCAGCGGCGAAAGGUGGUCUCCUGACCCCUUGGGUUGGAAUUCAGAUUGGGGGCAUUACAGGGGAGGGGCUGUUCUUGCACUAGCCGGGCAACUAAGUCCAACAGUCCCUAGUUCCCCGCGCACCUGGGCCUCCUGGAGUAGGGAGCCAUCAGUGUGGUCUGUGAGCAGCAAAUGGUUCGAUGUAUGCUACAGGUUCUUUCCUUGCCCGAGCAUCUGAGCACCUGCCACUCAUGCGUUAAGGGAUUUGACUCACUUUUGCCAUGCGUAGUUCUUGCUUUCGCUCGUCUUCUCCCCAGGGGGAGAACUGUGUGCAGUGGAGUGUUGGGAAACAUACCCCCUGCUCUGUGUUUAUAUGGGGAAGGGACGGUCAGAGGGGUGCGCCUGGCACCUAGACCAUGAGGUGGGGAGGGUUGUGAUGGUCCUUGGGUUCAUCCCACAGUCUGAGGCUGGCCCCCAAGACAGCUCUGCCUCCUGCAUAGCCGAGCUUUACCCUGAAGUUAGGAAGUGCCUUGGUGCCAGAGGCGCAGAGCCCAACCAGGCCCCAGCCCAAACCUUUAGGUGAUCUUCUACAUAGGCUGGGCCUCUUCUGUUCCCCUGAGACAGAGAGCUUGCUUCUCCCUUUCCUGGAAGCUCAACCUCCUGAGGGAGAGGAGGCCGUAGAUAGAGUACCCCCAAGCUACACCAGCUGCAUUGCUCAGCUGCUGCACUGAGGAACAGGCAGCAGAGCAGGCCCACGCAGCUCACUGCCUCCAGUUCCCUUGUCCCUAGCAGCCCUGCCUUCAGAGUCAUCAGG